UACGUAGGGGCCGAGCGUUGUCCGGAGUUAUUGGGCGUAAAGCGCGCGCAGGCGGCUUGGCGCGCCCGACGUGAAAGCCCCCCGGCUUAACCGGGGAGGGUCGUCGGGUACGGCCAGGCUUGAGGGCGGGAGAGGGUGGUGGAAUUCCCGGUGUAGUGGUGAAAUGCGUAGAGAUCGGGAGGAACACCUGUGGCGAAGGCGGCCACCUGGGCCGACCCCUGACGCUGAGGCGCGAAGGCGUGGGGAGCGAACGGG
rnacentral:rRNA from 1 species